rnacentral:lncRNA from 1 species
AGUGCAGUGUCCUGUCUCUGGGAUCUUGCCUUGGGAGGCAUGGAUAACUCUUGUAAUUCGGUUUCUUAAAUGACUCUUCUUAUGUUAGGAUGUUAGUGGUUUGGGACGUAUGGUGAUGUGUUGAAAUGGGGAAUGUCGAAGCGCCUGAGUGGGGAGAGUCUAGGGUGACUACUAACAGUUAAGAUUUUGGAAAGUGAGUUAAGGUUGUUGUCAUGAGAAAUGGUUAGGAAAGGGAUAGGUGGUGGAAGCUUUUGCGAAAUAUCAAAAGGUGCUAGAUCUUUUGAAGGAUAGAUUUUACCGUGGGUAUGUAAGCAGUAGGCUUGAAUGUUGUGAUUGGUAAAUAUACCAAUAAGUUGUGUUGGGCACCUGAGAGGUCUGGUAGGGCAUGGUUUUAUGAAUUAUUUUCAUGGCUUAGUAGUUGUAUGAUUUUGGGUGUUCAAUUAUAGGUUGGGGGUUUUGGUUAUGGUGGUUGGACAUGGUUUACCCAUGUCUUUUACUUAUGAUUUUCUUGUUAUAAUGGUGAUGGAAGCGGAUUAGUGUUUCGGGAGAGAUGUAAGGAGUAGAGCCCGGUGGCCUAAAUUAACUCUUUUGAGCUUUGGAUAGGCUUGAACAUGGAGGUGGUGUAUAGCUAGAUUCAGGCUCUCGUAGUGGUGUGUCUUGGUAAAUUCUAAGUUGAAUUGGACUUGCCCUUGCAUGAGUUCAUUCAGCCGGUAUUCUAUGAGUUUGCGUUGGGGUAAGGUGUGGAUGGUACUUGGUUGGUUGGUUUCUUUGGGUGGUAUUGGUAUCUCGGAUUCCUUGUUCUUUAAGGGGUCCCGAUGAGGAUUAUAGAAUGGUAAGUUCGCCGGUUGAGAACAAAAAGGUGUGGCUUUGGCAAAGGUUCUAUGGUGGAACUAAAAGUCGAAGAAAGUCAUUUGGAAUGUGGAAGGGGACAUGGAGUCCGAGUGUCCACGUUUGUUCUUGGUUCCGAAAAUUCGUGCGUAAGGUGUGUGCUCUUCAACACGUCUUUUUGUUUUCUAACUUGGUUUAAGGUGUGGAAUGGUUCCUCUUGCAUCUUCAUUUUCUUAGUUAGAGAUCGGAAUGGGGGUGUUGGGGUGUAAAUCGUGUUUGGGUUAUGUAGUGAUCUUCUCACCUUGGUUUUGUGUCCUUGCUCUCUAUUUUGGUUGAGGAAAAGUUUGUUGGGUGUUAAUAUGUUAUCUCAUGCUUGUCCCUUACCCUUACCCGUUAUUCGAGGGCAAAUGAUCUUAGUGGAGGAGACUGAAACACCCUAGGAAUAGGACCCUUGCAAAAUUUCCUUGGUUUUAGACUUACUGGACUUGGUACGACUCAAGGGUACUAAUCGUAUCCUUGAAUACGACUUGUGGGAUGACUUGAGGGAUCAAUCGUAUGUUAGGCAGUGUGCUUAGCUUGGUUAGUGCCCAAGAUACGAGUCAUCAAGGUACGAGUCGUAUCCAAAGAUACGAGUGGUGUAAGGCAAGUCGUAUGGUGCUUGAUUGAGUUGUCUUGUGGAGUCUGCCCAUGGUACGACUUGUGGGUACGAUUGAGUGUACCACUCGUACCCUUAGGUACGAGUUAGGGAGGUGUGAGUCGUAUAGAAACCAGUAGGUAGGGUCUUGGCAAGGUCUUGGGUACGAAUUGGGGUACCACUCGUACCCUAGGAUACAGAUGUAUAGGUGAGUCGUACCCCUGGAUGUGGCUUGAUUUAAUUUUAAGUCAAGGGUAGUCCGGAUAUUUCCUACUUCAAAGCCCUUAUGUUCUCACGUUAUAUAACCCUUGAUGGCCUCUCAUAACAUUUAUUAAAGGAUGGAAACACUCCAAAUACUCUCUCAAACUUACUCUUAAAGAUUGAAGGCUAGGGUUUCUUUGUGUUCUUCAAAGGGCUCAAGAGUCAUGUUUCUCUUUGGAAUCUUCUUGUAUAAGGCAUGUACUUCCCUCAUUGUUAUUUCCAACUAAAGUCAUGUGUAUUGUGUCUUAAACAUUGAUUUAUGAAUCAUAAAUCAUGAAGGGUGGUUUUCGAAAUAUAUGUUGAGGGUCUUAGUGCAUAUGGUUUGGUAUUGGUUUAAACUAUGUUUUUACAUGUUUUUAGUGCUGAUGCAUAUGUUGGUACUUGUUGGAUAUGGUUUAACAAAUGGGUCUUGCGUAACCCUAAUUAUGGUGGUUUAUGCAUUGGUUUUGGUCUUGGUAAAGAUAUGCUCUCAACAUGUUUGAUAAAAUGCCUAAAAGAAUGUUUCCACUCUAUUGUUGAACUUUUAUUGGAACUCUUGUUUGGUUUGGUUUGGUAAUGGACCCCUAAAUGGAUUUGCACGGUUUAAAUGAUAUAAAUGCUUUAAAUGUUUGGCAUGGUCAUAAAUGGUUUGGAAUGGUUUUAAAUGGCAUAAAUGGUGUACAUGGUUUAGAAGGAUUAAAUGGUAAAGCCUUGGUGGCUAUGAAAUUGGUUAUGCUUGUGGGGUACAUGGGAAUCCCCUAAGUGGUUUAAUAUGGUUAAUGGAAGGGCACAUGGAAUCCCUUAAACCUAUACAUGGUUGGCUAUGGAUAGUACUUGCAAGUAUAGUCGGUAUGACGAUACCACUACUAAUGGCCUCGGUUGAUAAAUGAUUAAUGGAUUGGUUGGUUGCUUGGUAAUGGUUUUAAUUGGACAAUAAUGGCGGGGUGUGUUGCAAAGCCGUGGAAGGUGGAGGUCCCGGGGGACCAAAAUUGGAAACUCAUAUUUGUCGAUAUGAGGUUUGGUUUUGGUGCCCGUGAGCAUGAUGUCACACUUUAUAUUUUGGGGAAUGUGCUAGUCAUCCCAGGUUUUUUUUUUGGUCGUACGGCUUCACGCAUUGGGGUCCUUUCAGCGGGGGAUCUAAACCCAUAUAGCUCGUGGGUGGUUUAGGACGACAAAGCUACACAAGUCAGGUAAAGGUUUUAAAGGAAUGCUAAGCCCGCUUCCCUUUCCUAGCAUGGUUAUAUGUAUAUGUAUGGUUGUAUGCAUUAUGGAUGGUUUUACUUGGCUUUGUAAACAACAUUAUUUUAUUCUUGUCCUGAGUGCAUGCUAGUGUUCACCCACUAACCCGUCUUUGGGCGGCUGUAUACCCACAUUAUGCAGGGACCGACUAUUCUACUUUUCUUUCUUAGUGAUCGGAUUCGGGGAUAGUCGAUGUUGGAUUGAAAUGGUGAGCUUCCAUAGUUCGGAAGGCAUUUAUUUCAUGUCAUGGGUUACUUUACAUAUUUCUUGUCUUUCAUUGACUUUGAUUUUUGGCUGUGGUCGGGGGAAUGUCUCGACUAGGUACUCUUUGGUUGGUCUACAGGCUUUGUAUGGACAACCGUGGACUUGGGUAUGGUAUGGAUUGGUGAUGUUUCAUAUAUAUAUACAUGCAUCGGAUUAUUAUAAUUGGUUUUGGUUUAUGGGUUUUGACAUUGGUUUGGUUGGUCAUUGAGUGGUUGGACUUGGUUGGGUUGGUCUCGGAUAUAGACUUAUCCCAGAGUCGCCACAUGGUUGGAUACGCUAUCUUUUUAUAUGUUCGGACUUCAGCCGACUCAAGGUAUGCGUCUGGUGGUUGGGUUAGGUAACGGGGGCGGUUUUCGGUCCUGGUUGGGCUUGGGAUUGCCCAUUACGAUAAGGCCCUAGUUCGGAUCGUGUCAAGUUGGUAUCAGAGCUUUCGGUUUCGGUGUCAUGAGGUGUUCACAAAGCCGUGUCGAGUAGAGUCUUGCUUGUGGGUGUGUCGUGCACCACACUUAUAAUCAGGAGGCUACGAGCCAUUUAGGAAUGUUUCACUUUCUUGGUUAUUCUACUUUUGGGUUAUGAAGUCUAAGGUCUUGAACUUUUCUCUGAAUCUUCCUUGGUUCACUCUUCGAAUCAUGUCUUCUUAACUAACGAUCUAUAGGUCGUGGAAACUCGCUUGUCCCACUCGAGGACAACAUGGAUGGAUCUAGUCCAACUCAUGGGGCACAGACCCGUCCAAGGGUCGCAGCUUUUGGUUUUCCCGUGGAGUCCCACCGGUUUCCAUUGACCCUAUCUCGGAAGGUGAUACUCAUACUCGGUUACCUCAAGGAGAGGUUGCUAAUGCUGAGUUUCGUCAUCCUAAUAAUCUAUUGACCCAAAUAGUGACAACUCUGUCAUGCUAGUCCAAUCCUAUUGGUACGGGGAGGAAUGAGGUAAUGUUGGUAAAUGGGCAAGGUAAGGGGGUCUCGGUCUCUUGAAUAAAAGGGAGGCCAACUUUAUGGUGGUAAAUGAUCCAAAAAAAAAGAGUUGGGUGAGUCCUAACUUCUAUUCUAUGUCUUUUGUUCCAUACCUGGAUUCAAUUGAGAGGCAGGUGUUUCUAGAUUGGUAAAUUCUUCUAGGGCACAAGGUGCCCAAUCUCGGGUCAAUGGGGCCAUUCCACAUCAUCCCAUUUUCUUUAUAAAUUUUGUGGUUGGUUGUACCAUGGUUGUUGCGAGGGAGGAAGGAGUCAGUAUUUUGGUUGUGGUCAGUUAGGUCUCGUGUGACGGGGAUGUCCCAUAAGGGUUGCCGCUUGGGCAAAUAGAGUAUUGACUGCUACCUCUGGCUCCGGCAUUGGUCGGGAUUGUCUCAAUGUUCUUACUAUUCCUCGAGAGUCCAAGGCAUCUUUUGAUGCCGACGUUGGUAUGUUGAAAACUCCUUUCCUUGUGGUGUGUAUGGUUUACUUUGUUUGGGUUUCCCUCUCUUUUGUGGCCCCAUUUGUGGUUUUGUAUUUUGGUUUUGGUGUCAAAGUUACUUCAGACUUUUUUCUUCUUCUGUUUUUACCCCGGUAGGUGAUUCUGCGAUUGCCAAAAGAGUCUAUUAGUGGUGUGUGGUAUCUGAUAGUAGUAAGAGGGGUCUUGGUGGAAUUGUUUGACUCGGAUGUGGUGGAUUCCGAUAUCAUUCGGGAAUUGAUUGGUUGCCCUCGUGGUAUGCCUCAUUAAGCUGUCGGAUCCGUAAAGGUUUUCUUUAGGCUCCCUGGUAAGUCGGUUAUGGAAUGAGAGGAUGGUUUCAUUCCCUAGCUAUUAGGGGAAAGGUUAUAUCAUAUCUUGGAACUCGGAUGUUGAUCUCCAAGUGUCUUUAUUACUUGGUCAGGGUUAAAGAUUCUAACCCGGAAGGUCUUUCCUUACAUUUGGUUUUGGUGGUGCAUGAAUUUCUUGGGGUCCUUUCCGAUGACCCUCGUGGUGUCUUUCUAAUGGGGAGGUUGGUUUGGGAUUGGUCUUGUUUCGGAUACUUGUCCAAAUUCUAUUCUUCUGUAUAGAAUGGUUCCGACUGGGUUAAAUGGGCUUGAAGGUUAAUGAAGGGAUCUUUUAGAUAUGGAUUUCAUCAGUCUUAAUUUUUCUCUGUGGAGUGUUUUCACUCUUGCAUAUAUAAGGGUGGACGGUUCCCAGAAAUUAGGUUGUCGGUGGGUGACUAAGGAAUUUGGAGUGUGACUAAGGAAUUUGGAGUGUUCUUCUUGUGGGCUUGACGAUGGUUAUGUAUAUCCUAUUAGGGUACUUUGCUAGUAGUACAUGGUGGUUGGUAGAUCCUAGGCUUGAAUUAAGAUGCUUGAUUUUGAUACAAGGGAGUAUGAUAAGCUCGGAAAUAGCAAUGCGGGAGUUGUGGAGGUAAACUGGUAGGUGGGAUAAGGUUGAUGAUUUGGGAAAUACAAUAGUGGGAGAAUUGUGCCAUAUAGGCCGGAGUUUAGGUUGAACGGAGGGACUGGGGAUCUAGUCAUUCGACAGGUUAGAUCAUGGAGCUUGCAUGUAUCCUUGUCCCUAUACUUGUACUUUAUUGUUGCCAUGAAAUUGAUUAUUAAGUUCAUGAUUUUGAAUGUGGGUUUUGGCACAAUUGAGGGCUUUGACAUGAUUACUCAUUUAAUUGAUUUUCCAUGGAUUAUGAUGCAUUAUUCAUGCUUAUUUAUGUUUAUGAACAUUGUGGGAUGCGUGGGAAUGGUAAAUGAAUUUUGGGGUACUAUGAAUUCCCCAAUUACUUGAUUUUAGUCUUGGAAAUUAUAUGCCUUCAAACUAUUUGUGAAAAUGCCUUUGACUAUAAUUUCGUCAUAUGGUUUGACUAUUCUUAAAUCUUUGCAUGGCAUAAAUGAUUCAAGGAACAUGAAUUGGUUUUGGUUGGAUUCAAAUGAUUUUGAAAGGCCUUGGUGGCCAUGGUUUGAUUUUAAAUGGUUUUGGUUUAUUGAAAACCUUUGAGUCAAUAUGGUCUCAUGGUUUUUGCAUGUCUAUGUUGGGCCCUAGGUAGCAUUGAGAUGAAGGUUCGUAGUUAAUCUAGAAUUCUCUUUUAGCGGUGGACUUCAAGGUCGGAUUGGGUUGCAUAUUCUAGUGAUACUCUUCUCCUUCGGCUAAGAGAUUACUCUACUAGUAUUGCAUGCAUUCUUGCAGCACUUAUGACUAAGGUUCACAUUUUGCAUUCGCCUUGUUCCUUGGAUAUGAGCGUUGACUUUGUGUUAAGUUACUCAUGGUAUGUGAGGUUGUGUUUCUUUCGGUGUCCUGUCUUAAGGACUCCUCUUAUGGUAUGGUUUGGUCGGGAUGUUUCUUCAUUAUGGUCUAGGUGGUGUCUAUGAAGUACUUCGUGCCUAUAGUGCCGUGUCCUGUCUCUGGGAUCUUGCCUUGGGAGGCAUGGAUAACUCUUGUAAUUCGGUGUCUUAAAUGACUCUUCUUAUGUUAAGAUGGUAGUGGUUUGGGACGUAUGCUGAUAUGUUGAAAUGGGGAAUGUAGAAGCUUGUAAGUGGUGGAGAGUUUAGGGUGACUACUAACAGUUAAGAUUUUGGAAAGUGAGUUAAGGUUGUUGUCAUGAGAAAUGGUUAGGAAAAGAAU